CUCAAUGGUGAGCUGGACGGUGGCAUCGCAAGAUGCGCCAGUGUCCAAUAGAGCUGGUAAGGCCAACUCCGUUCAGUUCACCACCAGU
rnacentral:antisense_RNA from 1 species